AUUCACAAUAUAGUACGUAAUACAGGCGGAUAACCCGAUCUGAUAUGCACAAUAUAGUACGUAAUACAGGCGGAUAACCCGAUCUGAUAUGCACAAUAUAGUACGUAAUACAGGCGGAUAACCCGAUCUGAUAUGCACAAUAUAGUACGUAAUACAGGCGGAUAACCCGAUCUGAUAUGCACAAUAUAGUACGUGAUACCGGCGGAUAACCCGUUGUACGAUCUAGCAUGCACAAUAAACACAGUUGUACGUAAUACAGGCGGAUAAUCCGUUGUACGAUCUGGCAUGCACAAUAAACACAGUUGUACGUAAUACAGGCGGAUCUGACAUGCAAUACAAAUAUGUGCAGGUGCUUUCUAAGUUUGAGUGACAUACUGUGCAUAUUUCUUUUUGAGAUGUAAUAAUUCCGUGCUUUCAAUUAUGUAACUUGAAAAUGUAUGAACACUGUAGUAUCUUCGCCUAGAUGACGUUUUGACAAUGUGUAAUAAAGAGAGAAAGGCUGUUAUUUACAAUAAACCAUAUAAAUCCUGACCCAUGUGUGUACACAGGUAACAUACCUGUUAUAUAAGCAGGGGGACAUUAUACAGGAGAAGGGAAACCGGUUGAUCGGGUAAAGGGUGUAAGUCAUACGAUCAAUGUUACGCAACAACACAGACCGGCGCCAUAAAUUCCCCAAAACACUUUGAUGCAGUCAGCACAGAAACAACACAUUAUCAUGUUUUCAUUGAAAUGCAAGCAAGCAAAUUGCACAUUAAAACAGUAUUACACCUUCUUUUGGGCUACCAUGCCUUUUUCCAUUACGCAAUGGAUGCAUGGUAUCUCGACAGUGACUGGCGCCCUAGUCGGCCUCUAGGUCGCCACGCUAAUGCUUGUAACGACCUGCCACGUACACAGCUCCCAUGACUGAAGUGAACUUUCAAACAAAACCCACGGAUUUUAGUGAAUGUAAUAGAAAACGUUACAAAAGAUAAAGUU